GAUGAAGAACGCAGCGAAAUGCGAUAAGUAAUGUGAAUUGCAGAAUUCAGUGAAUCAUCGAAUCUUUGAACGCAUCUUGCGCUCCUUGGUAUUCUGAGGAGCAUGCCUGUUUGAGUGUCAUUAAAUUCUCAACUACACUGACUUUGAAUUGGUGUGGCUUGGAUUUGGGGGGAAAAUUGUUGUGGGCUUUUUGUAUAGUCUGCUCCCCUGAAAUUGAUUAGCGGUACCUUUGUGGAACUGUCUACAGGUGUGAUAAUUAUCUACAUCUUAGACAUCUGCUGGAAUGCUGCUUUCUAAACCUUACUUGUAUUGAUAAUCUUGACCUCAAAUCAGGUAGGACUACCCGCUGAACUUAAGCAUAUCAAUAAGCGGAGGA
rnacentral:misc_RNA from 1 species